rnacentral:rRNA from 1 species
CCUACGGGGGGCAGCAGUGGGGAAUAUUGGACAAUGGGGGGAACCCUGAUCCAGCCAUGCCGCGUGUGUGAAGAAGGCCCUCGGGUUGUAAAGCACUUUCAGUGAGGAAGAACGCCUGGUGGUUAAUACCCAUCAGGAAAGACAUCACUCACAGAAGAAGCACCGGCUAACUCCGUGCCAGCAGCCGCGGUAAUACGGAGGGUGCGAGCGUUAAUCGGAAUUACUGGGCGUAAAGCGCGCGUAGGUGGCUUGAUAAGCCGGUUGUGAAAGCCCCGGGCUCAACCUGGGAACGGCAUCCGGAACUGUCAAGCUAGAGUGCAGGAGAGGAAGGUAGAAUUCCCGGUGUAGCGGUGAAAUGCGUAGAGAUCGGGAGGAAUACCAGUGGCGAAGGCGGCCUUCUGGACUGACACUGACACUGAGGUGCGAAAGCGUGGGUAGCAAACAGGAUUAGAUACUCGAGUAGUC